UUCCGGUUGAUCCAGCCGGAGGUCACUGCUAUUGGGAUUCGGCUAAGCCAUGCAAGCGGAGGGCGCGGUCGAAAGAUCGUGGCCCCGCACACUGCUCAGUAACACGUAGUCAACCUACCCUUGGGACGGGGACAACCUCGGGAAACUGAGGCUAAUACCCGAUAGGUGAGGGACGCUGGGAUGCCUCCUCGCCCAAAGCUCCGGCGCCCAAGGAUGGGACUGCGGUCUAUCAGGCUGUUGGUGGUGUAACGGACCACCAAACCUACGACGGGUACGGGCGAUGGGAGUCGGAGCCCGGAGAUGGGGACUGAGACAAGGCCCCAGGCCCUACGGGGCGCAGCAGGCGCGAAAACUCCGCAAUGCGCGCAAGCGUGACGGGGGGAUCCCAAGUGCCGUUGGUCUUUCGAUCGACGGUUUUUAGGAAGUCUAAGAAGCUUCCAGAAUAAGGGCUGGGCAAGACUGGUGCCAGCCGCCGCGGUAACACCAGCAGCCCAAGUGGUGGCCACGAUUAUUGGGCCUAAAGCGCUCGUAGCCGGAUCAGCAAGUCCCUUGUGAAAUCGGGCCGCCUAACGGUUCGGCGUGCAAGGGAUACUGUUGGUCUUGAGGCCGGGAGAGGUCGGAGGUACUCCUGGGGUAGCGGUGAAAUGCUCUAAUCCUAGGGGGACCACCAGUGGCGAAGGCGUCCGACCAGAACGGACCUGACGGUGAGGGGCGAAGGCUAGGGGAGCGAACGGGAUUAGAUACCCCGGUAGUCCUAGCUGUAAAGCAUGCGGGCCAGGUGUCUAGUGCUCCUUGAGGGCACUAGGUGCCGGAGGGAAGCCGUUAAGCCCGCCGCCUGGGAAGUACGGCCGCAAGGCUGAAACUUAAAGAAAUUGGCGGGGGAGCACCACAAGAGUGGGACCUGCGGUUCAAUUGGACUCAACGCCGGA
rnacentral:rRNA from 1 species